rnacentral:rRNA from 1 species
UGGGGGAAUUUUGGACAAUGGGCGAAAGCCUGAUCCAGCAAUGCCGCGUGUGUGAAGAAGGCCUUCGGGUUGUAAAGCACUUUUGUCCGGAAAGAAAUCCUCUGGGUUAAUACCUCGGGGGGAUGACGGUACCGGAAGAAUAAGCACCGGCUAACUACGUGCCAGCAGCCGCGGUAAUACGUAGGGUGCAAGCGUUAAUCGGAAUUACUGGGCGUAAAGCGUGCGCAGGCGGUUUUGUAAGACGGAUGUGAAAUCCCCGGGCUUAACCUGGGAACUGCAUUCGUGACUGCAAGGCUAGAGUAUGGCAGAGGGGGGUAGAAUUCCACGUGUAGCAGUGAAAUGCGUAGAGAUGGUGGAGGAAUACCGAUGGCGAAGGCAGCCCCCUGGGCCAAUACUGACGCUCAUGCACGAAAGCGUGGGGAGCAAACAGGAUUAGAUACCCUGGUAGUCCACGCCCUAAACGAUGUCAACUAGUUGUUGGGGAUUCAUUUCCUUAGUAACGUAGCUAACGCGUGAAGUUGACCGCCUGGGGAGUACGGUCGCAAGAUUAAAACUCAAAUGAAUUG